CCCUGGUGGGCUGCCGGGGAAUGGGCGCGCCGCGCGCUGCUGGGGACAGUGCCUUGGGGCCGCGCGCUGGGAAGCCCACGCCCUGCCGUGGGGUCUGGCCGGCCUAGCCCUUGGCACCCGCGGCUCCCCCAGCUCCAGGGCCUCCCCUGCCUCCGCUAAAUGCCCUGCUUCCCCUGUGCAGGGGCACUCCUAGACGAGAGUAAGGGCGACCCCCAGGUGCCCUGCCUGCAUGUUUGCUUGACGGACCAGAAACAUGGGGGAAGAGAGAGGGUCGUGGCCAAAGACCCAACACCAGCCCCAGCCCCAGCCCGCGCUCCUUCCCCACCACCUAUUUCUGGUGGCUGUGGGUGUGUUGGCUGGUGGGUGUGUGGGUGGGUUUUGAGGGAGCAACAUCCGAUCUGCCUGGGCGCUCCAGCGGGGUUGGAGGGGAGUGGGGUGGGAGUGGGGGGUCGCCUGCCCCUGCCUGCCUCUGUAACCUCCCCUCGUCUGCCCCUUGGCCUCCGGGGCCGAGCCAAGCCCUUGGUCGGGCUUUCCGCCAGGAGCCCCUGCCAGCAGCAGCCCAGGGACCUGAGGGCACCCUGCCCCCUUCCCUGGCCUCAGGCCGCCUCCUGCUUGGAGCGCCUCGGCUUCCCCGGGGCCCUCCUGCUCGCAAGCACGGGGCGCUCCCCCGGGUGGGGGGCCUUCUUUGCCCCUCCGGGGCUGCUGGGCUGGCAUGGAUCGCGAGGGGGACCGUCCUGGGCAUCCCCUGUGGACCGAGCAGCAGCGUCCGGCAGGCUCCCGGCCCCGUCGGCCCGACCGACCCUCGAGACCCCGGGUGGGCGGCUGGGGACCAGGGCCAUUGGGCUCUCGCUGGGGCUCCCGCACCAGACCCCCAACGGGCCCCGACCCGAGGCCGCGCCCCCCCCCAAUCCCCCGUGGUUCUGGUCUCCAGCCUCCGGCCCAAUGCCCCUGCAGCCGGGCCCCAGCCUUCCUCCCUGCCACCCCCGAGGAGGCCCCGGCGCAGGGCUGGCCAGGCGCGUCCGCCCUGGGCUGAGCACGAGCGGGGACGAGGCAGGCAGGUAGGCAGGCAGGGCAGCUGGGGGUCGCCGUCCCUCUCGGGCAGGAGUGCCCCUGCACAGGAGAGGCAGGGCAGUCAGCGGAGGCCCUGGAGCUGGGGGAGCCGCGGGGGCCAAGGGCCAGGCCGGCCAGGCCCCAGGGCAGGGCGGGGGCAUCCCAGCGCGCGGCCCCAAGGCACUGUCCCCAGCAGCGCGCGGCGCGCCC
rnacentral:lncRNA from 1 species